rnacentral:rRNA from 1 species
GACGAACGCUGGCGGCAUGCCUAAUACAUGCAAGUCGAGCGAACAGACGAAGUGCUUGCACUUCUGACGUUAGCGGCGAACGGGUGAGUAACACGUAAGGAAUCUACCUAUAAGCGGGGGAUAACAUUUGGAAACGGGUGCUAAUACCGCAUAAUAUCUUCUUCCGCAUGGAAGAAGAUUGAAAGACGGCUCUGCUGUCACUUAUAGAUGACCUUGCGGUGCAUUAGUUAGUUGGUGGGGUAACGGCCUACCAAGACGAUGAUGCAUAGCCGACCUGAGAGGGUGAUCGGCCACAUUGGGACUGAGACACGGCCCAAACUCCUACGGGAGGCAGCAGUAGGGAAUCUUCCGCAAUGGGCGAAAGCCUGACGGAGCAAUGCCGCGUGAGUGAAGAAGGCCUUCGGGUCGUAAAACUCUGUUAUAAGAGAAGAACAAAUUGUAGAGUAACUGCUACAGUCUUGACGGUAUCUAAUCAGAAAGCCACGGCUAACUACGUGCCAGCAGCCGCCGUAA